GUUGCAUCGCUAGUCCAUAACACUUCACCAGAGUGCUUAGCAAUGAAGGAUGCAACCCAAUCUAUGCCUUUUUUGGACUUGAAGUAGACAUACUCAACUGAAAGGUCGUACAAUCCCUUGCGCACUGCCAAAUGUUCUAGAGCAAGAGGUGUCCGUCCGUAGUUGUGAGUUGCCUAUGGAUCCAUCCAACCAUGAUGGCUAAGCCACCCUCUAGAUGGAUGAGAUCCAUUCACAAGCAAAAUCUCUUAUAGGUAAUACCUGCCCAAGCCGCUCUCAACUUAGCUCCAAGGAUAGUGGUGUCAUAGAUCGAGCUCCCACAAGCAGCAAUGAGAUGAGAAUCAUGGCCUCUAAUCACAAACCCGACACCUCCUCUACUGUUGUCGUCACUUAUAUUGCCAUCGAAGUUCAUCUUGAGGAAACUUGAGAAUUGGCGCUUCCAAGUGAUGAAAAUCAUCCUAGUCACUGCAGGAGCUGAGGUAGAGUCCCAAAUGCAUUGAGCUAUCGUAGGCUCUCUAGUAGAAGGUGAGUGGAUGACUUCUGCUACCUAGAUGAAAGUCUUCUCUAAGGUGAAUCUCGAUAGCUGAAUACUAUUCUCGAAGACUCGGCCAUUUUUGACGAGCUAGAUGUGAUAGGCCAAAUAUACAAUCUUGAUGCUCUGGAAUUUGAUAGAGACUCUACUCAUGCAGCCCCUCAGGUAGAAGAGGAAGGUCUCAACUCAUGUCAUAGACCAAGUUGCAUGAUCCUCCUAUUUUUACCGCCUUCACCAUUUGCUCUACUUCACUCAUUGCAUGAUCCUCUAUCCUUCAUGGUACUAAUCUCUAACCACAUUAUAAUCAUCAAA
rnacentral:lncRNA from 1 species